CAUGUACCUUUAGAAACCCAUCUAUCAUUGCCUGCAAGAGUGCAAUCUCGUCGGAAACUUCUGGUCGUAAAAACAUGAUUCCUUCAUUUCUCUACAGUUCUUCACCUAAAACCCUAUCGAUUAUUCAUUAGAUCAUCAACUCCGGCCCCACUCCUUCUGCCGCAACGCUGUCUUCAUUGACCGGAACUAGAUAUAUCAGUUGCGUUUCGAAACUUCUCCUAAGGAAUCCGGUAAAAUCGAGAUUUACUUUGGAUUUAUCAUAGCUCAUGUUGCUGCUAGGGGAAUUGGUGCUGACAUAAAUUUCAAUCUGAAUGAUUUUGAGGAUGAUCUUAAACAGAGAGCUUCUGAUUGUGUUUUUGUCUCCGACUGGGACAUCUACUGCCGCUUCAAAUUCAAGGAAAGUUGCUAAUGGUUCUGCUUCGACGGUUUCAACGAAUUACUCAAAGAUUUUUACUUUGGGUUUUGGUUCUCGAGGUGGUCUUUACUCUUUUUUUUUGUGUGAUUUCGCAGACCGUGUA